UACGGAGGAUCCGAGCGUUAUCCGGAUUUAUUGGGUUUAAAGGGUGCGUAGGCGGCCUAUUAAGUCAGGGGUGAAAGACGGUAGCUUAACUAUCGCAGUGCCUUUGAUACUGAUAGGCUUGAAUGUACUUGAGGUAGGCGGAAUGUGACAAGUAGCGGUGAAAUGCAUAGAUAUGUCACAGAACACCAAUUGCGAGGGCAGCUUACUAAAGUAUGAUUGACGCUGAGGCACGAAAGCGUGGGGAUCAAACAGG
rnacentral:rRNA from 1 species